GUCAGUUAAAGUAAAGUGGCAGUAAUCAGUGACACACAGGUCAGAACAGGUCAGAACAGGUCAGUUAAAGUAAAGUGGCAGUAAUCAGUGACACACAGGUCAGAACAGGUCAGUUAAAGUAAAGUGGCAGUAAUCAGUGACACACAGGUCAGAACAGGUCAGUUAAAGUAAAGUGGCAGUAAUCAG